GUGCUUGCUUAAGCAGCACACAUACUAAAAUUGGAACGGUACAGAGAAGAUUAGUAUGGCCUGUGCACAAGGAUGUCACACAAAUUUAUGAAAUGUCCCAUGGUUUU